GACUUUAAAACAAAUCAGAGAUAUUUAGAAUUAUUUACUCUUUAAUUCUUUCCCAUAGGCCACUUGGUACAACCCCUUGUCAGUCAGAAUGCUUCAUUGAUCUCAGUCAGAAGUUCUGCUUGAAAACUGAUGGCACAACCUACCCCCAUACGUAGGAGCAGGAUGCUGAUUUAAGCAGUGGCAGGGGUCCCUCUGGAUCAAGCCUGUCAUCUCUUUUUUUUACUUCGUCGUGUGACAAAGAUUCAGUAUGAAAAGACAUCUGUUCUGGAACAAUUACCAGCUUCUCCACACUUCCUAUGCUCAAAGUUGCCAGCUGCAGGAUUUGAAUUGAAAAUACCAGGAAUGAUUUUGUGUCUAAGUGCAUGAACUGCAUCUGCAAAUUACAUCCUGUUUGAAAUAUUUUGUGGUUUAAUCUAGUUUCAUCUAAACAAGUCGCUGUCACUGGC
rnacentral:lncRNA from 1 species